rnacentral:rRNA from 1 species
GGGAAUUCGGGGGCAGCCGCGGCGGUAAUACGGGGGGUUGAAUGGUUAUCCGGAUUUAUUGGGUUUAAAGGGUCCGUAGGCGGACUUAUAAGGCAGUGGUGAAAGCCUGUCGCUUAACGAUAGAACUGCCAUUGAUACUGUAAGUCUUGAGUAUAUUUGAGGUAGCUGGAAUAAGUAGUGUAGCGGUGAAAUGCAUAGAUAUUACUUAGAACACCAAUUGCGAAGGCAGGUUACCAAGAUAUAACUGACGCUGAGGGACGAAAGCGUGGGGAGCGAACAGGAUUAGAUACCCGAGUAGUC